rnacentral:rRNA from 1 species
GCUUGUCUCAAAGAUUAAGCCAUGCAUGUCUAAGUAUAAACAAAUCUAUACGUGAAACUGCGAAUGGCUCAUUAUAUCAGUUAUAGUUUAUUUGAUGGUUCAUACUACUUGGAUAACCGUAGUAAUUCUAGAGCUAAUACAUGCGUCAAAACCCAACUUCUGGGAGGGUUGUAUUUAUUAGAUGGAAACCAAUGCGGGGUAACCCGGAAUAUGGUGAUUCAUAAUAACUUUCGGAUCGAUUUAUCGAUGCAUCAUUCAAGUUUCUGCCCUAUCAGCUUUGGAUGGUAGGGUAUUGGCCUACCAUGGCUUUAACGGGUAACGGAGAAUUAGG